rnacentral:rRNA from 1 species
UCUCUAUGCGGUGUCAGCCGCCGCGGUAAUACGAAGGGUGCAAGCGUUACUCGGAAUUACUGGGCGUAAAGCGUGCGUAGGUGGUGGUUUAAGUCUGUUGUGAAAGCCCUGGGCUCAACCUGGGAAUUGCAGUGGAUACUGGGUCACUAGAGUGUGGUAGAGGGUAGCGGAAUUCCCGGUGUAGCAGUGAAAUGCGUAGAGAUCGGGAGGAACAUCCGUGGCGAAGGCGGCUACCUGGACCAACACUGACACUGAGGCACGAAAGCGUGGGGAGCAAACAGGAUUAGAUACCCUGGUAGUCCACGCCCUAAACGAUGCGAACUGGAUGUUGGGUGCAAUUUGGCACGCAGUAUCGAAGCUAACGCGUUAAGUUCGCCGCCUGGGGAGUACGGUCGCAAGACUGAAACUCAAAUGAAUUGACGGG